ensembl:lncRNA
GUGUGUACACCUGUGUGGAUCAACGCGCUUGUAUACAAAAGGUUUCCCCAUGUAACGGUCUGCUAGAGGGUGUGGAGGCCCAUAGCCCCGUCCCCCAGGGCAUGAAGCAGGCAUGGAGGAGAUCCAGGCUCCAGACAUCCAGAGGCCCCAGAGUGCGAGAGCCCAAGGAGGACCACCGGAGGGGCAUCCGUGCCACCUUCCUGGGAAGGGCUGAGGAGAUCCCCAGACGAGGGGGUCACCCAGUAGCCACGGAGCAGAAGCCAGAGGGGGCUGCACCGGCGUGCCCGCCGGCUCUGAACCGAGUUGCAGGCCCCGAGGCCUGCUCCAUUAAGUGGAUGAACUGUAUGUGAUUUUCUAUUUUGUUUGGAGGUUGCAUUUCUUCUUCAGUGCAAGUAUGAGUGAUUCAGAGUGAACCUUCCUAGAUGUCGCCAUCACGGAAGUCCUACCAGAACUUCAAGCUGUGAACAAAAACAUACUGGAAGAGCACUUGCAGUCCAUUGGAGUUGAGACAAGUGAUGAUCUAUGCUUCAUAAUGUAGCUUCUGCUCAGCGCUUUUGAAGAGAAGGAGGAGUCCAUGCUUUUCUGUGUUGAAGAUGCAUGUCUGGCAGAUGAGGUACAACUGGAGCAAGUGCCUCUGACACCCACUAUUAUUGUGUGUGGUGUUUCUUCUCCAUAAACCCAGAAAAGGAACCAAAGUACAGAACAAAAACUCAAAGCGUUGUCUCAGUGUGAACCCUCGAGUCCUCACCCCGAUUCAGGAUCUCGCUGACCACGAGUGGCGCUAAGCCUAAAUCUUGACUCUCUGUGGACUGUUGGUGUUACUUUGUUCCACAAUGUGUACAGAAACCUUUAACUGGUCGAAUGCAUGAAGCCAAUUCACCACGUAGUUUUCCUGAUGUGUUUUCUGACCAAGGCCAUGGUUGUGGUGACAGCAGGGUGCGUGUUGCAUUGCAUGGUGAUUAUGAUAAUUUUUGGCACAACAUGUGAUUUUUGUUUUAAAGUCUUAACAGGUUUAACUUUUUCUGGUAGAAGGUCUAACAAAUGCUUGUUUCAUGAAAGAUGGUUCUUGCUUUGCAGGAAUGUUCCACAGCUUUUAUAGCUUAUAUUUUGAUUGAAUUGUGUAGUUGCUGUGUGCCUUGCAUAUUGUGUUAGUUGGAAAAAAAAUGUAUCCAAUUGCUGUCAUUUGGCUAAUCUGGCUGUAAAAAUAAAUUUCCCAAAAGUGAUAUUUUCCUCUCUUGUGUUUUCUCAAGAUGUAUUUUUGCAUGUUUGGGUGUCGGCAUAGCAGUAUUAAAU